rnacentral:rRNA from 1 species
AUUGAACGCUGGCGGCGUGCUUUACACAUGCAAGUCGGACGAGUGGCGAACGGGUGAGUAACGCAUCGGAACGUACCGAGUAAUGGGGGAUAACUGUCCGAAAGGACAGCUAAUACCGCAUAUUAUUAGAUCGGCCGAUAUCGGAUUAGCUAGUUGGUGGGGUAAAGGCCUACCAAGGCGACGAUCAGUAGCGGGUCUGAGAGGAUGAUCAGCCACACGUGGACUGAGACACGGCCCAGACUCCUACGCGAGGCAGCAGUGGGGAAGUUUGGACAAUGGGCGCAAGCCUGAUCCAGCCAUGCCGCUUGUCUGAAGAAGGCCUUCGGGUUGUAAAGGACUUUUGUCAGGGAAGCGGUACCUGAAGAAUAAGCACCGGCUAACUACGUGCCAGCAGCCGCGGUAAUAC